rnacentral:rRNA from 1 species
UACGUAGGGUGCGAGCGUUAAUCGGAAUUACUGGGCGUAAAGGGUGCGCAGGCGGUUAUAUAAGACAGAUGUGAAAUCCCCCGGGCUCAACCUGGGAACUGCGUUUGUGACUGUAUGACUAGAGUACGGUAGAGAGGGGUGGAAUUCCUGGUGUAGCAGUGAAAUGCGUAGAUAUCAGGAGGAACACCAGUGGCGAAGGCGGCUUUCUGGACGGUAACUGACGCUGGAGACGCGAAAGCGUGGGGAGCAAACAGG